AACCAAUCAGAGGUGAAGGUCUCUUUGAUGGACAGUUGAAAAUAUUUCAUGAUGAACUGCAGCACCAUAACAAACAUUAUGAUAUUUUAACUGCUUCAAAGUUUAGAUUUAAUUAUCAUUCCAGUAUUUAUUCCAUUAUUGUCUCCAAAAUAUUUGCACAU